UUUAGGAGCAGAAACGUGUGCGUCCAAGCCAGGGAGCUCGGCUCCGCGCCACGCGCUCGCCCUGACCCCGCUUUCCUCUAUCGCGUCGCCGUGCCGGCCGGCCUCACCGGAGAUCACCGCCGCCGUGACCAGGGAGGCGGCGCUGCGCUCGGGUGCCCGCAUCAGGCGACGGCAGCGAGGCGGGAGGCAUGCGUGGAGAUGAAGGAGGAAAACAUGGAGAGUCGGCCAGAGUGAGGAGUUCUUCGGCGUCGGAGCGGCGGACCACCGCGGUGCAAGCUUGUGGGGGGCGGCGGCCAUGGCGGGGAGGCGGCACCAAUUUAUAUACCAUCGCGAGUUGCCCGGAAAUCAGCAAGCUGACUAGAGAAUCAACAAACAGAUAAAUUUAUAGACUAUUUGAGCGAGUAAAAGUGGAAAAUAAGACACCAAAUUGGUGUGUUGCUGGCUGCAAA